AAGUCGUAAACCAUUGGGUAAUCGACCGAGUGACGUAACUUCCAGGUGGUGAAACGAUCGUCGUACGGGAAUACCGAACGGAAUAUCGAAUAAGUAGGUGAAUUACGGGAAAAGCAACCGCGUAACGCUUUUUAUUCUUGUGUUUUCUCGUAAGGGAUGCCUCGCGUAACCUCAAACGUUGUCCGAUCGCUAACUUGUUUACAUCAAUACUACUCCCAUUCCUCUGCCUUCCUAUAACAAAUGACUGUCGAGUUACGACCCCCCUCUUCACCUGAGCCUACGAAAGCAUGCUGCAUCGUUUCUGGAGGCCUCUUCGCUUGCUUGUUACUCCUCGGUGUGGCUACGGUCGUAACGGGCUGCGUCCUGAUAGGCCUUACCUACUACAAACAACUGCCACGUGAACAUCCUCUGUACUUCGCCAAGGCCUACGAAAGAGAAUACCUGAAAGCUAUAGGGCCUAUCAUACUUGUUAUCGGACUCGUUUUCAUCCUCCUACCUUUGGCCAUGUGUUGCCUGAUUGUACGAGGCCCCAGACAGAAUAGAUAUUUGUUAGGGGAGGCCCGGUAUCACAGCCUAGCCCUUCCUUUGUACGACUUGCCACCGGGUUACGAACAGGUUACGAAAGUCGACAAGCAAACAACAAAGGGCGAUGCCCACAUCAGUGUCAUCACUGUGUUAGAUUAUACUGAAGAUAGGCCACCCCCUUAUCACGAGGUUACUAAAUAAAGAGUGACGAUGACGUGUCAGGCCCGAGA